UCUGUGCCGGAGUUAACGCAAUAAGUACCCCGCCUGGGGAGUACGACCGCAAGGUUGAAACUCAAAGGAAUUGACGGGGGCCCGCACAAGCGGUGGAGUAUGUGGUUUAAUUCGACGCAACGCGAAGANCCUUACCAGGUCUUGACAUUGAUGGACAGAACUAGAGAUAGUUCCUCUUCUUCGGAAGCCAGAAAACAGGUGGUGCACGGUUGUCGUCAGCUCGUGUCGUGAGAUGUUGGGUUAAGUCNNNNNNNNNNNCGCAACCCCUAUCUUAUGUUGCCAGCACUUCGGGUGGGAACUCAUGAGAGACUGCCGCAGACAAUGCGGAGGAAGGCGGGGAUGACGUCAAAUCAUCAUGCCCCUUAUGACCUGGGCUACACACGUACUACAAUGGGAGUUAAUAGACGGAAGCAAAACCGCGAGGUGGAGCAAACCCGAGAAACACUCUCUCAGUUCGGAUCGUAGGCUGCAACU
rnacentral:rRNA from 1 species